rnacentral:rRNA from 1 species
GUGGGGAAUCUUCCGCAAUGGGCGCAAGCCUGACGGAGCAACGCCGCGUGAGUGAAGAAGGCCUUCGGGUCGUAAAGCUCUGUCUUUAGGGAAGAAUAGCAGGUAUGUGAAUAAUGUGCCUGUGUGACGGUACCUGAGGAGGAAGCUCCGGCUAACUACGUGCCAGCAGCCGCGGUAAUACGUAGGGAGCGAGCGUUGUCCGGAAUUACUGGGCGUAAAGGGCGUGUAGGCGGGAAUUUAAGUAAGGUGUGAAAACUCCGGGCUUAACCUGGAGACUGCACUUUAAACUGGAUUUCUUGAGGGCAGGAGAGGAAAGUGGAAUUCCUAGUGUAGCGGUGAAAUGCGUAGAUAUUAGGAGGAACACCAGUGGCGAAGGCGACUUUCUGGACUGUACCUGACGCUGAGGCGCGAAAGCGUGGGGAGCGAACAGGAUUAGAAACCCUAGUAGUCC